GCCCUAGUCCUACGGGAUGCAGCAGGCGCGAAACCUUUACAAUGCGCGAAAGCGUGAUAAGGGAACUCUGAGUGGCAGCCGGCUUUUAGCCGACUGUCUUUUGGCGAACCUAAACCGUUCGCAGAAUAAGUUCUGGGUAAGACCAGUGCCAGCCGCCAUGCGCAGUCGCAUAUUGCGCACGGUACGCGGUAAUACUGGCAGAACGAGUGGUGCCCACGAAUAUUGGGUCUAAAGAGACCGUAGCUGGUCUGUUAAGUCCACUGUGAAAUCUUGGGGCUCAACCUCAAGGCGUGCAGUGGAUACUGGCAGACUUGAGAGCGGGGGAGGUCAGGGGUACUUACGGGGUAUGAGUAAAAUCAGUUGAUCCUGUAAGGACCACCAGUGGCGAAGGCGCCUGACCAAAACGCGUCUGACAGUGAGGGUCGAAGGCUAGGAGAACGAAUCGGAUUAGAUACCCGAGUAGCCCUAGCAGUAAAUUAUGCAGACUGUGGUGUUGCUAUGGCUUCGGGCCAUGGCAGUGCUGUAGCGUAGGUGUUAAGUCUGCCACCUGGGAGUACGGCCGC
rnacentral:rRNA from 1 species